AUAGUUUAUUCUGUCUGUGAGUCUCUCCGUCCCUGCUCUUGCUCUUUGCAGUUUGCUCUCUCUUAAGUUUUCUUUACAAGGCACAACAGUGUCAAAUUGUCAACACAUGAUUAAAUCUAAGUUAACUAAACAAGGUUUCAGUAUGAGAUGAGAGGGAUACCUUUGCUUCUGUAGGCCUGUAGUGCCGCUGCCGCUGGCUGCCAAACUCCUCUCCUCUGUGUUCAGCCUGAGGCUAAUGGAAGGAAGGAAUGCCAACAAAGUGGUUCUAUAUGAGGAUGCAGCAAAAAAACAACUCCAAGAGUUUAUAUCAGUGCUACGUGCAUGGUUGUGAAUUAAUGGCCCAAUCAAUCAUGUUCUUCUCUUGGUGUUAUUUUGGAAAAUGUUGAAUCUGGAGUCCUUCAUCAUUUGUUAACACCUGGCACUGGUGUAGGUCUCCCUAACAUUGAUUCGGGUAUAAAUCAUUUCAAGGAUGCUUUUGAUUGGGUAGAACUAGAAGCCAAUAAUUCAGGACGUAUCGUACCUCAUGAAGGAGUUGAUCUGGAGUAUGACCUGUAAUAAAGUUAAGGAGGUUGAGUCUAGUUUAACAAAACACCUCUAGGACCAGCAAAAAUUACUUGGAGAUGCAUCAAUUACAUAUGUCACAAUUGGAAAAGAGGCAUAUCUCUCACAAGUACCAGAAAGUUUGCGCGCGCAAGAGAGAGAGAGAGAGAGAGAGAGAAAGAAUUCCUUGUGACUAUGAGUUAAGAUCAUCUAAAAAGGUAUUGGACUCCAAGUAUCAAGAAGUUGUUGGGAGAGCUUUCACAAGCUGAGUCUGAAAAGGAAUCCAAGCUGAAAAGCAUUCUUCAGAGGUUGACUGGACGUUUCUGUGAGCAUCAUAAUAAGUGGAGCCAAUUAGUUUCUGCUACUGCAGAGUUGGAUGUUUUGAUCAGUCUAGCAAUUGCAAGUGAAUAUUAUGAAGGGCCAACAAGCCAACCAAUUAUAUUAGACUCGUCAAGUCCGGAUGAAGUGCCAUGCUUUUCUGCAAAAAGUCUAGGACAUCCUGUUCUUAGAAGCGAUUCUUUAGGCAAGGGUACCUUUGUUCCCAAUGAAAUUAUGAUUGGUGGUUCUGGUCAUGCUAGGUUCAUCCUUCUCACUGGUCCUAACAUGGGGGGGAAUUCAACUCUUCUUUGCCAAGUUUGCUAGGCUAUGACUUUGGCCCAGGUAGGAGCAGAUGUCCCUGCAGACAGUUUUGAGUUGUCACCUGUGGACCGAAUCUUUGUUCGGAUGGGUGCCAAAAAUCAUAUCAUGGCAGGCCAAAGUAAAUUUUUAACUGAACUCUCAGAAACUGCAUUAAUGCUGAUGAGAUUUGUCAGUGGAUCAAAGGAUUUUCAUUGCACACUAUUGUUAUGCCUGUGAUUUUAUAGAUUAUUUGCAGAAUCAAAGACAACAUUCUUGAUCUUCUGCAACUCGUAAUUCCAUUGGUGGCAUUGGAUGAACUUGGACGUGGAACAUCAACUUCAGAUGGGCAAGCGAUUGCUGAAUCAGUUCUACAACAUUUUGUCCACAAGGUACAGUGUCGAGGAAUGUUUUCUACUCACUAUCACCGAUUAGCUGUAGAUUAUCAGAAUGAUCCUAAGGUAUACCUCUGCUUUUUCUGUUAUUUUUCUGUUUCAUCACAGACGCUGUUGACACACAAGCUAAGGGUAUCUUCUUAAUCUUCAAAAAACUAGACAAAUGAGUUUUUAGCAUGAUUGGCCAUGUGAUAACCAUAUAUAAUAGUAUCAUAGUUUAUAUUAGAUUCAUCAUGGUUUAGACAUAAAGGCCAUGAUAUUGGUACUCUACCAAUGGGCACAUAUAUUCUGAACAUUGUCUAAUUUGUUGUUCUUCAUGUUUGGAAUAGGUUUUGCAUUUCUUUACAAGUUGACACCUGGUGCAUGCCCUAAAAGCUAUGGUGUUAAUGUUGCACGGUUAGCUGGUAAGAUUCUUUUUGUAUUAUUGCCUCUUUGUUGAGAAGCUCUCUUUAUUAACCAGAAGAAACGUAGCUGAGGUACAAUGAUUUGGUUUAUGUGAUUUUAGACUGUUAACAACAGUCAUUUUCUUAAAUUAUCUGUUGGUAAAUUUCCCCAAAGUGACUAGCCAAUUUAAAAAAUUACUUCUCCAUAUACUUCUCCAUGUAAAAGAAUUAUCAACCCUGAUCUCUUUACCUUGUAAAACUCUUGACUUGAAACCCAUGACUCUUUGAAGGGGAACUACACUAACUUGUCUUCUCCCUCCUAGAAAAUUCUGAUAGAAUAUAAGACAUCCAUAAAAUCUUCAUAGAUUCUAACUCACAAUGAAUACAUCCAUUUAACAAUUCCAUAUUGAUACAUAUGGACUUCCUGUAUACAAAUUGUGGAGAUUUUUUGCUGUCUAGCACUUCAUGUUUCUCCUUCUGGGUACUUAGUCUUUAUAAACCAUGAAAGUUCAACCACCUUUGAUUAUCUUUUAAAUAUUACUUUUUUUUUUUUAAUUAAUGAUAACAAUAUUUUGGUAUUUUUUUUAAGGAAACCAAUAUGUUUGAAGUUGAAAUAUCAUUUGAAUUAUAUUUAAGGAACGUAUAUUCUUUUAUCAAACAUAUAUGCAACUGCUAGCAACUGCAAUGGGGUGGCAAGGGUGAGGACCUUGAUGAAAACAUUGGAGUGCAGAAGGAACCUAGCUGUAGCUCAAUUGAAGUGAAUAAUAAGGUACACGAGUUUCUUACUGGAGAUAAGAAACACCCAAACAGCAAAGAAAUUUACAUGAUGCUAUUGGAGAUAAAUGGUUGGCUUAAGGCACACGGCUACAUACCACAAACAGAAAUUGUGUCACAUGACUUAGGGGAGAGACAAAAGGAACAAUCCCUUGAAGUUCACAGUGAGAAGCUAGCUAUGGCUUUUGGGCUCAUCAGUACUCAACCCGGAACUACUAUAAAGAUUGUGAGGAACCUCCGUGUAUGUCUGGACUGCCAUGCUGUGACCAAGCUGAUUUCAAAGAUAACUGGACGUAAGAUUGUAAUGAGGGACUGUAUUUGAUUUCACCACUUUGUGAACGGUUCAUGUUCUUGUGGGGAUUACUGGUGAAUUGCAAUAUUGUUAACGGAUCAUGUUCUUGUGGGAAUUACUAAUGAACUGUAAUAUAUCACUGUUAUAGUGUUACUAUGCUUAGCAUUCCAUUGAUCGUAUAAUUUGAAUAACUUUUUUAAA